rnacentral:lncRNA from 1 species
CCAUUUACAGAUCUCUGGGGAAAUGGAGUGGUGCCAGGACAACUCAUAUAUCAAGGAUGGUUCUGGAUGGAGUUCAUUCAACAAGGUCCCGUCCACCAUCCAUCCCGUGUGAUGCCCUCAUACCCUAUGGGACUUCCAGAAGCACCUUCUCCCUGUGUGAGUGGGAUGAUUGUCCACAGGACCAAUGAAAAAAUGCUAUCUAUCUGAUGCUGGGAAGCUGGCUGGACCAAGGGCAGGAUUUCAGGGAGCCCUGCAAUUCCCCUGUUGGAUGGUGAGGUUGGCCACUCAUCACAUCAGCUUUGGUGGCUCAGACCCGGAGGGCCAUGCCUGCCUUCUGCUGGGCCACCUGAAGCCUCUCAAGGCCAUUGAGCAGGAGCAGAAAUGUGAGGGGACUGCAGUCUGGGAAGACUGUGCUGGGGUUCAUGGGCUGGAAUUUCCUGAAAGGCAGUGGAGUCUUUCCUGUCUUUGGAAAGGCACGGGAACUGUCAGGUGUGUGGGUGACACUUUCUCCUUAUCCUGCUCCAGAGCCAGCUCCAAAGCUCCUGCCACUUCCAGAGCCAGAGCCAGAGCCAGCGCCAGCCCCUGGGCUAGAGCCAGCUCCAGCUCCAACUCCAGCUCCUCCAACUGUGGCAGAGCUGGAGCCAGCAUCACCUGCAUCAGACCCUCCAGGGCUGGAGCAAUGGCCACUAUUAACUUCAACCCCAGUGCCAGCUCCUGA